rnacentral:rRNA from 1 species
GACGAACGCUGGCGGCGUGCUUAACACAUGCAAGUCGAACGGAAAGGCCCUGCUUUUGUGGGGUGCUUGAGUGGCGAACGGGUGAGUAACACGUGAGUAACCUGCCCUUGACUUUGGGAUAACUUCAGGAAAAUGGGGCUAAUACCGGAUAGGAGCUCCUGCUGCAUGGUGGGGGUUGGAAAGUUUCGGCGGUUGGGGAUGGACUCGCGGCUUAUCAGCUUGUUGGUGGGGUAGUGGCUUACCAAGGCUUUGACGGGUAGCCGGCCUGAGAGGGUGACCGGCCACAUUGGGACUGAGAUACGGCCCAGACUCCUACGGGAGGCAGCAGUGGGGAAUAUUGCACAAUGGGCGGAAGCCUGAUGCAGCAACGCCGCGUGCGGGAUGACGGCCUUCGGGUUGUAAACCGCUUUCGCCUGUGACGAAGCGUGAGUGACGGUAAUGGGUAAAGAAGCACCGGCUAACUACGUG